UAUAUACAAUUAUUCACAAUCUGUGUACAUAUACAUCCCAAUAUAUAUAUACAAUCAUUCACAAUCUGUGUCCAUAUACAUCCCAAUAUAUAUAUACAAUUAUUCACAAUCUGUGUCCAUAUACAUCCCAAUAUAUAUACAAUGAUUCACAAUCUGUGUACAUAUACAUCCCAAUAUAUAUAUACAAUUAUUCACAAUCUGUGUACAUAUACAUCCCAAUAUAUAUAUACAAUGAUUCACAAUCUGUGUCCA